GAUGAACGCUAGCGGCAGGCCUGACACAUGCAAGUCGAGGGAGAAGCCUUUCGGGGCAGAAACCGGCGCACGGGUGCGUAACGCGUAUGCAACCUACCUUUCACAGGGGGAUAGCCCGAAGAAAUUUGGAUUAAUACCCCAUAAUAUUGUUGGAUGGCAUCAUCUGAUAAUUAAAACUGAGGUGGUGAAAGAUGGGCAUGCGUCCUAUUAGCUAGUUGGAGUGGUAACGGCACCCCAAGGCUACGAUAGGUAGGGGUCCUGAGAGGGAGACCCCCCACACUGGUACUGAGACAGGGACCAGACUCCUACGGGAGGCAGCAGUGAGGAAUAUUGGUCAAUGGUCGGAAGACUGAACCAGCCAUGCCGCGUGCAGGAAGAAUGCCUUAUGGGUUGUAAACUGCUUUUAUAUGGGAAGAAUAAGGUGUACGUGUACAUUGANGACGGUNCCA
rnacentral:rRNA from 1 species